rnacentral:rRNA from 1 species
GAUGAACGCUAGCUACAGGCUUAACACAUGCAAGUCGAGGGGAAACGGCAUUAAGUGCUUGCACUUUUUGGACGUCGACCGGCGCACGGGUGAGUAACGCGUAUCCAACCUUCCCAUGACUAAGGGAUAACCUGCCGAAAGGCAGACUAAUACCUUAUGGUCUUCACUGACGGCAUCAGAUGUGAAGUAAAGAUUUAUCGGUUAUGGAUGGGGAUGCGUCUGAUUAGCUUGUUGGCGGGGUAACGGCCCACCAAGGCAACGAUCGGUAGGGGUUCUGAGAGGAAGGUCCCCCACAUUGGAACUGAGACACGGUCCAAACUCCUACGGGAGGCAGCAGUGAGGAAUAUUGAUCAAUGGGCGAGAGCCUGAACCAGCCAAGUAGCGUGCAGGAUGACGGCCCUAUGGGUUGUAAACUGCUUUUGUAUGGGGAUAAAGUCAAUCACGUGUGAUUGUUUGCAGGUACCAUACGAAUAAGGACCGGCUAAUUCCGUG